rnacentral:tRNA from 2 species
GGAGAGGUGUCCGAGUGGUUUAAGGAGCCGGUCUUGAAAACCGGUGAUGUCUCACGGCACCGUGGGUUCGAAUCCCACCCUCUCCGCCA